AUGCCUCCCUGCAGCCUGCUCUGUGUGUUGGUGGCCUUGACCUUCUCUGGAUUCAAUGUGGCCCAGAAAGUCACUCAGGUCCAGUCAACUACAAGCAGUCAGUACAGAGAUGUCACCCUGGAUUGUUCAUAUGAGACAAGUUAUUACUAUUACCAUCUCUUUUGGUAUAAGCAGCUUGUUACUGGAGAGAUGAUUUUCCUUAUUCGCCAGAGUUCUUCUUCUAUUCAGAAUGAGAGGAACGGCCGCUAUUCUGUCACCAUGAAGAAAUCAGCCAAGUCCUUCAGCCUUGUCAUUUCAGUCUCACAGCUAGAAGAUUCGGGGAUGUAUUUCUGUGCCCUCCAAGAGGUGACCCACAGUGUUUGA